UACGGGGGGCAAGCGUUGUUCGGAAUUACUGGGCGUAAAGGGCUCGUAGGCGGCCAACUAAGUCGGAUGUGAAAUCCCCAGGCUCAACCUGGGAACUGCAUCCGAUACUGGAUGGCUUGAAUUCGGGAGAGGGAUGCAGAAUUCCAGGUGUAGCGGUGAAAUGCGUAGAUAUCAGGAGGAACAUCGAUGGCGAAGGCAGCCCCUUGGACCUGUACUGACGCUCAUGCACGAAAGCGUGGGGAGCAAACAGG
rnacentral:rRNA from 1 species